ncrna:unclassified sequences Betaproteobacteria-1 RNA
GUCUUAAUUGGACGGCUAAAACCACCAGCGAUUAAGAUACAAGUGCUACUGGGGGAUAGUUGAUGUAAUAGCACACAAGGAGAUGGCGAAGUCAGAGUCUCCUUCAACGAAAGUCUGACGGGU